CUGGUCUCGAACUCCUAACCUCAAGCAAUCCGCCAGGCUUGGCCUCCUAAAGUGCUGGGACUACAGGCACCCGUCUCCGCGUUCUGCAGCACAGCUGAGAUUUGCAUCUGAGUCUCCAGGUGGCUUCUCAGGGUUGGCAGAACUGAGCACAGGAAAGGAGCAUCCAGGCAGCCAGCAGUCCUUUCCGUCAGUUCAGCUCCCCCAUCUACGGCGGCGGCGGCGGAGACCCAGACAGGAAAUGAAUCCCCUCUAAGCGGCUGCUGCGUUUUCCUCACCCAGCUGCCCCAUUGGAGAAGCCGACUGAAGACUUUAGAAAUUCAAAUGAGGCUCUCGGGGGAGAGCGAGUCUUAAACAUUCCCCUGCGCUGGCGGCUUUAUUGAAGGAAUAAACUAUAUUUGC
rnacentral:lncRNA from 10 species